rnacentral:rRNA from 1 species
UACGAAGGGAGCUAGCGUUGUUCGGAAUCACUGGGCGUAAAGCGCACGUAGGCGGAUUUGUCAGUCAGGGGUGAAAUCCCGGGGCUCAACCUCGGAACUGCCUUUGAUACAGCAAGUCUUGAGUUCGAGAGAGGUGGGUGGAAUUCCUAGUGUAGAGGUGAAAUUCGUAGAUAUUAGGAAGAACACCGGUGGCGAAGGCGGCCCACUGGCUCGAUACUGACGCUGAGGUACGAAAGCGUGGGGAGCAAACAGG